rnacentral:tRNA from 1 species
UCCCUUGUGGCUCAGCUGGUAAAGAAUUCGUCUCUGAUGCGAGAGACCUGGGUUCAAUCCCUGGUUUGGGAA